rnacentral:lncRNA from 1 species
AUGUGGAGCCACCAGCCUUUAGCUGUGACAGGCUCCGGCGCUCUCCCAGGGUGCCCCAAAGCUCCCCCAGCACCAGGGCUGUCCCAGGGACCCCCGGCUGCUCCCUCCCCACAGCCCCCAGGCAGCCUGCACCGGGGUACCCUGUGCAGAGCGGCUUUAUCCCCGACCGUUCUCCGGCUCCUUGGCCCUUGGCAUGUUCGAUCUGCUCUGCAGAACAGCCCCUGUUCAGGAGCACCCAGAGAAGGGGAACCCUCGGCACGGGGGGCACGAUGGGCUGGGGGAGGCCGCGAGGGCAGCGGCCGCGAAGGCCCCGGCGCCAGGCCCGGCCCCGUGCCCGGCGGGUCAGGCCGGCCCCGCAGUAGCGCCGCCGGAGCCCCGGGGAGCGGGGCCAUGGCCGCCCCGGGCCUGGCGGGCAGAGUCCCCGCAGGUCCCCGGAGCCGCCGAGCCGGGCCGGGCGGGCAGAACCCGGCGGGUCCCGGGCUCGGAGACGCCCGUCGGGCGGGCACCGCGCGGCCGGCCGGGCCGGGAAGGGUUAAGGGCGGCCGGCGCCCCCCCGGCGCGGAGGCCGGGCCUGUCGGGAAGCCGGGAUCUCUGCGGCGGUUUUACUGGAAAAGUCGCUGCCGGCGGAGGGGGGGCACCCGCGGCCUCGCAGGCUGGGGACGGGGCACCGGCCCGGACCACGCGGCCACCGGGCUCCGGCAGCGGCCCGCGCGGAGCUCCGGCCGAGGCUCCCCGGGGCACCCGCGGCUCCCUCGCCGGCCACGGCCCCGGCAGCCCCGGGACUGUAGCCGUCGGGGGCCUGUCCCGGGCCGAAGCUCGGCCGAUACCACAGCUCUGGACAUGUCACCGGCACCCGGGAGUGCAGCGGGGUCCCGGUCCCGGGUGCCCUACCCGACCCGGCUGAGCCUGGAGCCAGCGCUCCCAGUGCUCCUGGGCAUCACCCUGCCGUUCCCGGCAGCAGAAAACUGCUCGGCUCCGUGGCUCAGGUCCCUCGAGGGCGAUGGACAGCAGCUGCCUCAGCCCAGAUGGGACCAGGGCCCUCCAGAACGGGCAGGGCCAGUGACACCCAUUGGGACGAGCCAUGGAGCCGAAAGGGCACACAGGGUGAGCAGCACGUGCAGCAUGGACAGUGUUGCCGCAGGGCUCGCAGACUGGCAGGAAAGCACCCUGAGCUCAUGGUGA